rnacentral:rRNA from 1 species
UAUUAACUCUGGCGGCGUGCCUAAUACAUGCAAGUCGAGCGAACGGACGAGAAGCUUGCUUCUCUGAUGUUAGCGGCGGACGGGUGAGUAACACGUGGAUAACCUACCUAUAAGACUGGGAUAACUUCGGGAAACCGUAGCUAAUACCGGAUAAUAUUUUGAACCGCAUGGUUCAAAAGUGAAAGACGGUCUUGCUGUCACUUAUAGAUGGAUCCGCGCUGCAUUAGCUAGUUGGUAAGGUAACGGCUUACCAAGGCAACGAUGCAUAGCCGACCUGAGAGGGUGAUCGGCCACACUGGAACUGAGACACGGUCCAGACUCCUACGGGAGGCAGCAGUAGGGAAUCUUCCGCAAUGGGCGAAAGCCUGACGGAGCAACGCCGCGUGAGUGAUGAAGGUCUUCGGAUCGUAAAACUCUGUUAUUAGGGAAGAACAUAUGUGUAAGUAACUGUGCACAUCUUGACGGUACCUAAUCAGAAAGCCACGGCUAACUACGUG